rnacentral:lncRNA from 1 species
AUCAUGGGAAUGGUGAGUCCCGAAGCUCAGAUAAUUGCUUGCCAUGGCCCCCCCCUUAGAGUUGCCCUUCUUAGUCCUUCAUCAUCCUUAUUGCCUUUCUUUCCUUUGUGGAUCCACUUUGUUUGGAAGCCAUUUGUGCUUAGAAACAAAACCACUCAUGAGAAGCUGGUGCAAAAAAUAAUUAACUACUCUAAAUACCCCAAAACUACCCUUAAAAAUGAAGAAAGAAGUCAUUAAAAGAAAGCAAAAGAAUACAAAAGGAAAUGAUGCAAAAGAGUGUGUGUGUGUGUGCAAGGGCCACUUAACAAGCACAAAAAUCCCCAGGCUCAUUAGACUGGCCUGGGGUGCUUAAACAUGUCCAACUACUCCCUCUUCUUUAUUAAAUUUCACAUGGAUUAGAACCAAUUUAGCAACGAGUUGAAGAUCGACUCACUUGAUAGCACAUUAGUAAUGAAUAAGCAACUAGAAUCAAUAUCCAUACGUCCACAAUGUAAUCAGAAAUUAGCUUCCUAACUCUUCAGUUGCAAGCAAUUUCAUGUUCUUUCAGCAAAAGUUCUGCUCACUACCUCAACCACUUUAUUUUCAGCACAUGAAUAAAGAGCAACCACAAAGAAUUAGGCAGACAAUUAGUUCGUUCAAGUCAAUUCAAGUACUCAACUUAGCACACAAUUUAACAUAGAUUGAGCAGGGAUGAGCACAAACUAAAAGUUCGACUACAAUUAAAACACUUUAACAACGAACAAUCAACAAAUUAGCAAAGCAGUCACCCUGCACAGAAAUUAUGCUCAAAGAACCACCUCGCUUAGUCAUGUUCCAACAGUUAUUUCUCAUGGGCUAAGAUAGAAUAAGCUCACAAUUGAAGUUCUACUCUAAGCUCGGCACAUGGGUAAUAUAUAUAUAUAUAUAUACAUAUAUAUAUAUAUGUAUAUAUAUAUAUAUAUGUAUAUAUAUAUUCACACACAUUACGCUCCAAAACAAUCAAUGAUCAGUCAAACAUCCAGGUUUGAACUCCCCCGGAAAACCAAGUCCAGUCAAGCAAUAUCAAGCACUUCAGAUUAAAAUUUGCUGCUACUCAGCUUUGCGCACUUCAAUUUCUCGUAAAUUAAGCAAAACUAACAUAAGCUUGAAGUUUGACUCUAUUCCUAACACAUGAACAAUAAGAAAUCAAUAAGAAUUAAGCUUUAAACUACCAAGGAUUACCCAAAAAUCAGACUGAAAGAACCCCCUUCUGAACACAUUCUUUCGAACAAUUAACCAAACACCUUGAGUACAUAAACAUGUCUGAACUUUUCAACAAAAAAUUCACUGCCCCAUCCCAACAACUACACCAUAGCAAUGGCAUUCGCCAACUACCCAAUCAACAGAUAAACAGUCACUAGCAAUUACUCUUUCAGAAACAAUAAAAAUCUCGCCUAGAGAUUAACCCAACAACAAGAGAAAGGGAGAAAAAAGGCGGGAUUUGCAGAGGAGAAGAAGCUCAGAGAGUAAAUUGAAAAACACGAAAGAAGGGAUCCAAUCAUACCUGAGAAGCUUAGUCGGGCUUGCUGGAAUUUUGACCGGGGAAGAAGAAGCAGUGUAGGGCACGCAGGAAUAAGAACUAAAACAGUGGAAAAAAGAAAAAGCCAGAAUAGCCUGGUUGUUCCAGUUUGUAAUCCCGGUAUCUGUAUUUUAUAAA